rnacentral:lncRNA from 1 species
UCUCAAUGUGAGGUUUCUUUGGAAAUGCAGAAAAAAGUCAGGGGGAAACAUAAUCACAUAGGGAAUUGGUCUCUGAAAAUCCUUAAAGUGAAAGAAUUUUUGAAGAGUUCGUUUUUCUCAGCCAAGGCUCAGAGGGGCUGGACUACUGGGUCGAAGACUUUUGGGGAGAGAGAAAAACCAUCUCUGCUCCUUCAGUCUUAAACGUGUGAGAUCAGAUGUGAUCUUGCGCCUUCUCAGAAAGGCUGAGAUUUACACCUGUUGGCCAAGCUGACAAGUAGCAGGAGAAUGAAGACUGUGGCUAGGAAGUGGUGUUGCUGGGGGUGGGAUGGAGGCAGGAGAGCCAAUCGUGUGCAUGGACACUGUGUGAUUGGCAGAGACGUUGGCCUAUCCAGGCGUGGUGGGGAAGGACAAACAUUCAGGAUAAAGAUUCACUAGUCAGGAGAACCCUGAUUUUGCUAGCCCAUUUCCGGGGUCUAGGUCGUGGACUGCUUGGGUCUUGAUGAGAAGAAGGAUGGAGUGAUAUAUUCUGGAAAGAAGGGAGACUCACUCUGUGCUCACCCUUGGCCCCACUUCUGAGACACUGAAUCAGAAGGUCUGCAAUUGAGGUGAGAGUGGUGGGUGGCGAGAGCGCCCCAAAUGAUUAUUAUCUUCAUUCCUGGUGAAGGGUCACUGUCCUACUCGAUGCAACCAUAACAUAGGGCAGAUCUGAAGAGGAAGGUACAUGCAGGCAGUAGGCAGUAGCGUGUAUGGGAGGAGGCCAUGGAUUUUGCCAUUUGAGAUGAAUAGAUGGAUUUUGACAGUCUGAUAAUAGAAAGUAGCUCACAGCGGGCUCUGCAGGUCAUCAGCAUCCAUGUCAUCUAAGAGCUUAUUAAAAAAAUGCAGACCCUCAGGCCAUAUCCUAGACCUGUGCGAGUCUGCAUUUCAGCAGGUUCAGCGGUCUAAGACCUCCCUUCAAAUCCAUCCUGCACCAGCUUCCAGUGGUGGCAGGAACACAACACCCUGCCUAGAAGGUGCCAGACUGCCUUGUUCACAGGACAUUGACUCCUGUGAACGCUCUCUGCGCCUCAGCUUCCCCGUCUGUAAACUGGGGGCAGUCCUGUCCACCACAACGCUGGGCUGUUACAGGAUGAAAUCAGAAAUCCAAGGAAAUCCCUUAUCUGGAAGGGAAUAGGUGCUCCAUAAAUGCUCGACCCUAGUCAGUGUUUUCUUAGACCGUCUGACGGUGGACCCGUCUCCUCACGUCAGGGUCGGCUUUGGGACCUCAGGUUCCACACUGAGAGUGUGAGGACAACACUGGCAGCCACUAGGCUGCACUGAGGGUUAUUAGACAUAUCUGUGUCCUGUGGUCUGUAGACACCUCUGCAGAUGGCCUGACGCUGCUGUUGACAGGCUGCCAGAGGAAGAAGGACCGUAUGAGGCCAGUCCCUGCAGGGAGGCAACACCUCCCGAGGGCAAGAGGACCACCGAGGUUUUUUUGCAGCCCAGUGAGAACCAGACCACCCUCAACGCUGCCAUAAGGGGAAAGGUCACUGGGCUCAAGUCAUCCUGUCCUCCUGCCUUAUGGUCCCCCCCUUCCCACGUGGACUGGAUCGGACCACCCAGGAAGAGACGUUUGCUCAGUGGCUGGUGGGUAAAUGACAGGGAGCGGCAGGGGUGGGCCACCCUCAGCUCUGUCCCAGGGUCCCCUGGACUUCUCUCUCAUCCUAGACAAUCCUUGGGCCUGCUGACGACCCAGGUUCUGACACCCUCAGUCCCCCCUUUUCAUCUUGACUUUCCUCCGAGGGUGCAGCCAGCAGGUCUGGGAUACGUUUCAUUGUGUGCAGGACUGAGAGACAGAUAAAAUCUUCUGCAUUCCCUUCCUGUAGCUUGCUCAGGGCCUGAGGGGCAGAAAAGCUGACCAGGGAUUUAUUGCUGCUCCUGGGAGACUUGGGAGCUUUUUGCAGGAACGUUACAUUUUUUUUUCCCCCUGGGACUUAGUCUCAGUCCCAAGUGUCCUGGGACACGGUCAAGGCCACCAUGUUAAGGCAGCCACUACUGGGCCCCUCGAGGACCCCCAGGGGCCUGAGACAAUGCCCUAGCUGGGACGGAGAGAAAUUCAUGGGGCACCGGCUCCUUGAUCCCCGUGCAAUCCCCCUGCCUUGACACUUCCUUCUGCUUGGAGAAUGGGGUCC